UACGGAGGGUGCAAGCGUUAUCCGGAUUCACUGGGUUUAAAGGGAGCGUAGAUGGGAAUGUAAGUCAGUGGUGAAAUCUCCGUGCUUAACACGGAAACUGCCAUUGAUACUAUGUUUCUUGAAUUUUCUGGAGGUUAGCGGAAUAUGUCAUGUAGCGGUGAAAUGCUUAGAUAUGACAUAGAACACCAAUUGCGAAGGCAGCUAACUACAGGGAUAUUGACACUGAGGCUCGAAAGCGUGGGGGAGCAAACAGG
rnacentral:rRNA from 1 species